rnacentral:rRNA from 1 species
UACGUAGGGGGCGAGCGUUGUCCGGAGUUAUUGGGCGUAAAGGGCACGCAGGCGGUCGUGUAAGUUUGGGGUUACAGCUCCCGGCUCAACUGGGAGAGCGCCUUGAAGACUGCAGGACUUGAGGGCCAAAGAGGGACACAGAAUUCCGGGUGUAGUGGUGAAAUGCGUAGAUAUCCGGAGGAAUACCAAAGGCGAAGGCAGUGUCCUGGUUGGCAUCUGACGCUCAGGUGCGAAAGCGUGGGGAGCAAACAG